UACGUAGGGUGCGAGCGUUAAUCGGAAUUACUGGGCGUAAAGUGUGCGCAGGCGGUCUCGCAAGUCAAGUGUGAAAGCCCCGGGCUUAACCUGGGAACUGCGCUUGUAACUGGCAAGCUGGAGUGUGGCAGAGGGGGGUGGAAUUCCACGUGUAGCAGUGAAAUGCGUAGAGAUGUGGAGGAACACCGAUGGCGAAGGCAGCCCCCUGGGCUAACACUGACGCUCAUGCACGAAAGCGUGGGGAGCAAACAGG
rnacentral:rRNA from 1 species